rnacentral:lncRNA from 1 species
CCAGUAUCAUCUACUGUGCUGUCAUUCUCUCACAUGGCCUUUGGUCAUUGGUUCAGACAGGUCAGCAUCACUGACCAACAUUGAUUUUGAUCAUAGCAAAAGGAAUUUGGAAAAUAACAUCAAAGUGCUAGCUAAGAAGACAAAUGGAGAUUUGCAGAAGAAAAUAUCGUAUGGGUUAUCCUGGUAGUCUCCAGAGAAUUAACUGAGUCAUCCACAUUAUUUAGCUCCAUCUCCAUCCUUCAUGUGAUAGGAAACAGAGUUUUGAAGUCGAGACAUAAGGCAGCAUCACCAAAUAGAGAGUUGCUACCUCUGCCAAAGGCAAAAAGGAGAUAGGGAAGCUGCCACAGCAUCUGUUGGUUCCAGGAAGAAACCACUUUGCCUGUGGCCUGGGGAUAGAAGGAUGACACCUCAUCUAGUUACUUUAUGCAUGGCAGUUCUGCACUAGCAAAAACUCAGAGGCCAACCCCCAGAUUGGAGCCUGAAAUGUUGCUACAUAAAACCCAGUGUUUCCAUGACUGAGCUUGCCAGCUGCAACAACAAUAUCAGCAGAAAGAUCGCUUCUGAUCAACUUCUCCUUCCAAAUCUCAACUCUGACACAAGAGGUGGCCUUUCCCUGAACCCUAUGCUUUAGAAGAUCCUGAAUACCACAGAUGCAAUAUGAGUAAAUUUAUAAAAACACAUUUGUGCUCCUAUCUCUUGGGAACCUAUAUUCAACAGUGGCACAGCACAACCCAUAAACCAAAGCAUCAGCUCACAGACAUUGUUCAGGCCUCAGAGAAGUGUUUCUCAAGGUCACUUACCAUAUAUUCUUGAAAGGAAAGAUGGCCAAGUCCAAAUUCCAUGGAAGUUUGUGAAUGGAGCCACUUCAGACUUUGGGGGUGGACACAACUUUGCACAGAAGACCUGAAGAGUGAAAAUAUUUGGGAAAGAGAAAAGAUAAAAUUACUACCUUGUGAAUUUUUUCCUCUCAUGAAUAAUUUUUUGGCAUUAUUAAAGCACCAGAUUUC